GGAUGGGUGGCUGAGCGGCUGAAAGCGGCAGGUUGCUAACUUGUUAUACGGUUUCAAACCCGUAUCGAGGGUUCGAAUCCCUCCCCAUCCGCCA
rnacentral:tRNA from 3 species